GCUCUUUUAUUGAUUGUCUUUAGUAUCGUAUUAAUUGAUCUGAUGUGAGUAUGAAGUGGAUAAAUAUUACUAUCAAUCUAUUGAGCACUUAUAUGUAUCAUGUAAUGCUAACUAUUGUUAUUUUCGACAUGCAUUUUCGCUUACCGACUGAUAUCCAUACAUUUUCCUUCCAGUGGUACUGUUUUUGGACUUCCGACGACGCUGAUAUCGUUUCCGUUUCCGUCUCUGCCAUUCUGUUUUCGUUUCUGAAAAAAAAAAUGAAAAUGUAAAUGAGAGAGAUAGUUUUCCGGCUGCUUCCAACC
rnacentral:lncRNA from 1 species